rnacentral:rRNA from 1 species
GACGAACGCUGGCGGCGUGCUUAACACAUGCAAGUCGAACGGAAAGGUCCUGCUUUUGUGGGGUGCUCGAGUGGCGAACGGGUGAGUAACACGUGAGUAACCUGCCCUUGACUUUGGGAUAACUUCAGGAAACUGGGGCUAAUACCGGAUAGGAGCUCCUGCUGCAUGGUGGGGGUUGGAAAGUUUCGGCGGUUGGGGAUGGACUCGCGGCUUAUCAGCUUGUUGGUGGGGUAGUGGCUUACCAAGGCUUUGACGGGUAGCCGGCCUGAGAGGGUGACCGGCCACAUUGGAACUGAGAUACGGCCCAGACUCCUACAGGAGGCAGCAGUGGGGAAUAUUGCACAAUGGGCGGAAGCCUGAUGCAGCAACGCCGCGUGCGGGAUGACGGCCUUCGGGUUGUAAACCGCUUUCGCCUGUGACGAAGCGUGAGUGACGGUAAUGGGUAAAGAAGCACCGGCUAACUACGUG